rnacentral:rRNA from 2 species
GCGACCCCAGGAUGGGCGAGGCCACCCGCUGAGUUUAAGCAUAU